GGGAGAGAGAGAGAGAGAAGAGGAAGAGGCAUUUGGGCAUCAAUCCAGUCUCAUUUCACAAUGUUCUGGGGUGGAAGUGAAACAAAAAUCAUUACAGAACUCUCCAAGAGACCAAAAAAUUAAAUAAUGCACGGUCAGUGCUUUUGGAAAAUGUAAGAACAGGAUUUUAUUGUGAGAUAAGUUUCAGGAGCAAUGAACCAUGAAUCAGCCUCCACAUUUAGUUUGAAUCGAAGAAUUUGUCAUUUGCAUAAUGGUAGCAUGCGUACGGUAAAUCAGCACAAAAUCCAGUGUGUCCUCUGUAGUGUUUGCACACGUACCAACAGAGGUCACUGCAGUCAGGCCUGACCCCGUAUCAUCAGAGGUCAAUGCAGUCAGUCCUGACCCGUACCAGCAGAGGUCAAUGCAGUCAGGCCUGACCCUGUACCACAGAGGUCACUGCAGUCAGGCCUGACCCUCUGAGGCUGCGGUGGAUGACUCCAGGGCUGUCAGGGAGAGAGAAAGCACUGGCAUAUACAGGAGCACGUCCAGAAAGCGACGGCCCAGAGACAAGGGGUGAGAGAGGGGAAUUCAUGACUGACUAGGAAUGUCAUCCUGGAAAGGCAGGUAGUGGUUUGAGUUUAGAUGUGUUAGGAAUGUCAUGCUGGAAAGGCAGGUAGUGGUUUGAGUUUAGAUGUGUUAGGAAUGUCAUGCUGGAAAGGCAGGUAGUGGUUUGAGUUUAGAUGUGUUAGGAAUGUCAUGCUGGAAAGGCAGGUAGUGGUUUGAGUUUAGAUGUGUUAGGAAUGUCAUCCUGGAAAGGCAGGUAGUGGUUUGAGUUUAGAUGUGUUAGGAAUGUCAUGCUGGAAAGGCAGGUGGCGGUUUGAGUUUAGAUGUGUUUGCUGAGUUGGUGCCACAGACAAGUUGAA